rnacentral:tRNA from 1 species
AUUUAUUUAGUAUAUAAGUACAUUUGACUUCCAAUCAAAAAGAUUGAUAAACUCAAAAUAAAUA